ensembl:snoRNA SNORA62 Small nucleolar RNA SNORA62/SNORA6 family
CUGGCAGGCUGAUGGACUCAACAAGUGUUGAUAGUGUGCUACAGGAAGGGCAGGUCUUUUGCUAACACCACAAGGUCUUUGGCCCAACAAGUGGAGUUUGAUAGUAAUUCUUGCUGCAAGU